rnacentral:rRNA from 1 species
AAUAGAUACCCAGGUAGUCCACGCCGUAAACGAUGAGUGCUAGGUGUUGGGGGUAUCAUGCCCUCGGUGCCGAAGUAAACACAUUAAGCACUCCGCCUGGGGAGUACGGUCGCAAGACUGAAACUCAAAGGAAUUGACGGGGACUCGCACAAGCAGUGGAGUAUGCGGUUUAAUUCGAAGCAACGCGAAGAACCUUACCAGGUCUUGACAUCCCCCUGAAUACGUUAGAGAUAGCGUAGGCCUUCGGGACAGAGGAGACAGGUGGUGCAUGGUUGUCGUCAGCUCGUGUCGUGAGAUGUUGGGUUAAGUCCCGCAACGAGCGCAACCCUUGAGCCUAGUUGCCAGCACUUUGGGUGGGCACUCUAGACUGACUGCCGGUGACAAACCGGAGGAAGGCGGGGAUGACGUCAAAUCAUCAUGCCCCUUAUGACCUGGGCUACACACGUACUACAAUGGCCGGUACAAAGGGCAGCGAAGGAGCGAUCUGGAGCCAAUCCCAGCAAAGCCGGUCUCAGUUCGGAUUGCG